rnacentral:rRNA from 1 species
CCUAGGGCCGCUCCAGUCGAGAAUCUUCCGCAAUGGACGAAAGUCUGACGGAGCGACGCCGCGUGCGGGAUGAAGGCCUUCGGGUUGUAAACCGCUGUCAGUGGGGAGGAAAUGCAUCAGGGUUCUCCCUGGUGUUUGACCGAUCCGCAGAGGAAGCGCAGGCUAAGUUCGUGCCAGCAGCCGCGGUAACACGAACUGCGCGAACGUUAUUCGGAAUCACUGGGCUUAAAGAGUUCGUAGGCGGCCUUUCAAGUCGGGUGUGAAAUCCCUCGGCUCAACCGAGGAAUUGCGCCUGAUACUGUUGGGCUUGAGGGGGAUAGGGGUGAGCGGAACUGAUGGUGGAGCGGUGAAAUGCGUUGAUAUCAUCAGGAACACCGGUGGCGAAGGCGGCUCACUGGAUCUCUUCUGACGCUGAGGAACGAAAGCUAGGGGAGCGAACGGGAUUAGAUACCCCUGUAGUC